rnacentral:rRNA from 1 species
UUAGAGGAAGUAAAAGUCGUAACAAGGUUUCCGUAGGUGAACCUGCGGAAGGAUCAUUAACGAGUUAUUGAACAGGUUGUAGCUGGCCUUCAGGGGCAUGUGCACGCCUGGCUCAUCCACUCUUCAACCUCUGUGCACUUAUUGUAGGUCGGUGGAAGGGUAAGUCUAAGUGAUUAGACUUGCUUGGAAGCCUUCCUAUGUUUUUACAAACGCUUCAGUUUAAGAAUGUAUCUCUGCGUAUAACGCAUUUAUAUACAACUUUCAGCAACGGAUCUCUUGGCUCUCGCAUCGAUGAAGAACGCAGCGAAAUGCGAUAAGUAAUGUGAAUUGCAGAAUUCAGUGAAUCAUCGAAUCUUUGAACGCACCUUGCGCUCCCUGGUAUUCCGGGGAGCAUGCCUGUUUGAGUGUCAUGGUAUUCUCAACCUUCAUAACUUUUGUUAUCGAAGGCUUGGAUUUGGAGGUUGUGCUGGCUUCUCGUCAAGUCGGCUCCUCUUAAAAGCAUUAGCGUGAGUGUAACGGAUCGCUUCGGUGUGAUAAUUAUCUGCGCCGUGGUCGUGAAGUAACACAAGCUUGCGCUUCUAACCGUCCUUCAGCUGGACAAAUUUACUCUGACAUCUGACCUCAAAUCAGGUAGGACUACCCGCUGAACUUAAGCAUAUCAAUAAGCGGAGGAAAAGAAACUAACAAGGAUUCCCCUAGUAACUGCGAGUGAAGCGGGAAAAGCUCAAAUUUAAAAUCUGAUAGUCUUUGGCUGUCCGAGUUGUAAUCUGGAGAAGCGUCUUCCGCGCUGGACCGUGUACAAAGUC